rnacentral:rRNA from 1 species
UACGAAGGGGGCUAGCGUUGUUCGGAAUUACUGGGCGUAAAGCGCACGUAGGCGGAUACUUAAGUUAGGGGUGAAAUCCCGGGGCUCAACCCCGGAACUGCCUUUGAUACUGGGUAUCUGGAGUCCGAGAGAGGUGAGUGGAAUUCCGAGUGUAGAGGUGAAAUUCGUAGAUAUUCGCAAGAACACCAGUGGCGAAGGCGGCUCACUGGCCCGGCAUUGACGCUGAGG